AUGGCUUCGCGCGUGGGCCUCCUCCUCGCUCCCUCCUCCUCCCUCGCCCUAAACCCACCUCGUCCUCGCCUCCCUUAUCCCCUGCUUUCCCACCACCUUGGCCGCCCCACCUACCGCCGAAUCGCCUCCUCUGCGCCGCUGCGCUCCCCCCUCUGGUGGCCCCGCCAAGCGCCAUCCCUCUUUGCCGCCCGCGCCAUGUCAGGGUCCGCCGGUAGCCCCCCGUACGCCGCCGAGCUUGCAGCCGCCAAGAAGGCCGUCGCCCUUGCCGCCCGCCUAUGCCAGACUGUACAACAGGAAAUUCUGCAAUCAGAUAUUCAGUCCAAGGCGGAUAAAAGUCCUGUGACAGUAGCUGACUAUGGAUCUCAAGUAUUGGUAAGUCUCGUGUUAAAUAUGGAAGUAACUUCUGGUUCAUUUUCUAUGGUGGCCGAAGAGGACUCAGAAGACUUGAGAAAGGAUAGUGCUGAAGAAAUUCUGGAACAUAUUACUGAUCUUGUAAAUGAAACUCUCGCUGAGGAUGGUUCAUACAACAUUACUUUAUCUAAGGAAGGUAUCCUCUCUGCAAUUGAUACUGGGAAGUCUGAAGGAGGUCCAUCUGGCCGACAUUGGGUUCUGGAUCCAAUUGAUGGGACUAAAGGUUUCUUGAGAGGAGGCCAAUAUGCAAUCGCACUGGCACUGCUUGAUGAGGGCAAAGUUGUUUUGGGCGUGUUGGGAUGUCCAAAUCUUCCUUUGACAUCAAUAAGCAACCUCAAUGGUAGCUCAUCAGGAGAUCAAACAGGGGCCCUCUUUUCAGCUACAAUUGGUUGUGGUGCUGAAGUAGAGUCAUUAGAGGGCUCUCCACCACAAAAGAUUAGUGUUUGUACCAUUGACAAUCCAGUGAAUGCCUCGUUCUUUGAAUCCUAUGAAGGAGCACACACAAUGCAUGAUUUAACUGGCUCUAUAGCGGAGAAACUUGGUGUCCAAGCUCCUCCAGUCAGAAUAGAUAGCCAAGCAAAAUAUGGUGCUCUGGCCCGUGGCGAUGGUGCCAUUUACUUGCGUUUUCCACACAAGGGUUAUAAGGAAAAGGUAUGGGAUCAUGCAGCUGGCGCAAUUGUCGUCACAGAAGCUGGAGGUGUAGUAACAGAUGCCUCAGGAAACGAUCUUGAUUUCUCGAAAGGAAGAUUUCUUGAUGUUGACACAGGCAUCAUUGCCACAAAUAAGCAGUUGAUGCCAUCACUGCUGAAGUCUGUCCAGGAGGCCAUCAAGGAGAAAAGCCAGGCCCCUUCCCCAUUGUAG
rnacentral:rRNA from 1 species